rnacentral:rRNA from 1 species
GUCGAGAAUCUUUCACAAUGGGGGCAACCCUGAUGGAGCGACGCCGCGUGGAGGAUAAGGUCUUCGGAUUGUAAACUCCUGUCAUGCGUGAACAAGGUUGCUUGGUUAAUACCUGGGCAAAUUGAUGGUAACGCAAGAGGAAGAGACGGCUAACUCUGUGCCAGCAGCCGCGGUAAUACAGAGGUCUCAAGCGUUGUUCGGAAUCACUGGGCGUAAAGGGUGCGUAGGUGGCGUGGUAAGUCAGAUGUGAAAGCACGGGGCUCAACCUCGGAACUGCAUCCGAUACUGCCAUGCUAGAGUACUGGAGAGGUGACUAGAAUUCUCGGUGUAGCAGUGAAAUGCGUAGAUAUCGAGAGGAAUACCAAAGGCGUAGGCAGGUCACUGGACAGUUACUGACACUGAGGCACGAAGGCCAGGGGAGCGAACGGGAUUAGAAACCCCUGUAGUCC